UACGGAGGGGGCAAGCGUUGUUCGGAAUUAUUGGGCGUAAAGGGCGUGUAGGCGGCUUGAUAAGUCAGGCGUGAAAUCCCUCGGCUCAACUGAGGAACUGCGUUUGAAACUGUCAAGCUUGAGUGCGGGAGAGGAGAGUGGAAUUCCCAGUGUAGCGGUGAAAUGCGUAGAUAUUGGGAAGAACACCGGUGGCGAAGGCGGCUCUCUGGACCGUUACUGACGCUGAGACGCGAAAGCUAGGGGAGCGAACGGG
rnacentral:rRNA from 1 species